rnacentral:rRNA from 1 species
CCCUUAGAUGUUCUGGACCGCACGCGCGCUACACUGACGGAUUCAACGAGCUUACAACCUUGGCCGAAAGGUCUGGGUAAUCUCCAAAAUCCGUCGUGAUGGGGAUAGAUUAUUGCAAUUAUUAAUCUUCAACGAGGAAUGCCUAGUAAGCGCAAGUCAUCAGCUUGCGUUGAUUACGUCCCUGCCCUUUGUACACACCGCCCGUCGCUCCUACCGAUUGAAUGGUCCGGUGAAGCGUUUGGACUAUGGUUUUCUGAUGGUCCGCCGUUGGAUUACCGUGGGAAGUUCGUUAAACCUUAUCAUUUAGAGGAAGGAGAAGUCGUAACA